rnacentral:rRNA from 1 species
AGUGAACGCUGGCGGUAGGCCUAACACAUGCAAGUCGAACGGCAGCACAGUAAGAGCUUGCUCUUACGGGUUGCGAGUGGCGGACGUGUGAGGAAUACAUCGGAAUCUACUUUUUCGUGGGGGAUAACGUAGGGAAACUUACGCUAAUACCGCAUACGACCUACGGGUGAAAGCAGGGGAUCUUCGCACCUUGCGCGGUUGAAUGCGCCGAUGUCGGGUUAGUUAGUUGGCGGGUUAAAGGCCCACCAGGGGGACGAUCCGUAGCUGGGGUGAGAGGGUGUUGCGGCCCUGUGGAGGUGAGAGGCGGUACAGACUCCGAGGGGAGGCAGCGGUGGGUAAUGGUGGACAAAGGGCGGAAGCCUGAACAAGCCAUACAGGGUGGGUGAAGAAGGCCUUCGGGUUGUAAAGCCCUUUUGUUGGGAAAGAAAGGCUGCGGGUUAAUACCCCGCUGUUCUGACGUUACCCAAAGAAUAGGCACCGGCAAACAUGUU